AGAGAUAGGGUCUCACUAUGUUUCCCAGGCUGGUCUCAAACUCUUGGCCUCAAGCAAUCCUCCUGUCUUGGCCUCCCAAAACAUUGGGAUUAGAAGCAUAAGCCGCUACACCCAGCCUUCUCCCAGCUCUGUAUUUGGCCAUCUCUUCAUUAAGACAAGCCACUUCUGACCAGGUUCUCUGCUUCCAGAAAGAUAUCACUCCCCACCCUUAUUGGAGAAGUGCUUUCUCCACCCUCCACCCCCCGCCAUACCUCCAUUACCUGCCACACAGGUUCUAUUCCAAGUCUUCUCAGUGCAAAUUGGAUGGGUUAAUGAAGAAGGUGCUGACAUGUGAGGUAUGACAUCUCACUUGGAAUAAAUUAUGGGUCCCUCUUUUAUUUAAUGAAAGCAAAUUUAAGUGUAGAAAUCAUCUGAAACAGAUGGUUCAGCAGAGCACUUUGUAUGAGAACCGAGGUCACAGCUAACACUGUAGACGGUAGGUUUAUACAUUAAUUGUGACAGGCUUUGGGCAGAUAGUGAAAAAGUACUUGGUACUAAAAAUAUCAGAAUAUAAGUCUUGUACUAAAAAAGUCAGUAGAACACAAACAACAUAAAUAAACCUGAAAAAUAUUGUGCUGCUUAAAAAAAAUAUUAGGCUGGGCAUGGUGGCUCAUGCCUGUAAUCCUAACAGUCUGGGAAGCCAAGGCAGGCAGAUUGCUCGAGCCCAGGAGUUUCGGAUCAGCCUAGGCAACAUAGUGACACCCCAUCUUUACAAAAAUUAAAAAAAAAUUAGCCAGAUAGAGUGGCGUGCUCCCAGCUACUCGUGAGGCUGAGGCAGGAGGAUCACUUGAACCCAGGAAUUUGAGGCUGCAGUGAGCUAUGAUCACUUCACUGCACUCCAUCCUGGGCGACAGAGCAAGACCUUGUCUCUAUAAAAACAAUGAAAAAAAAUCUUAGAUCAAACGGUCUAUAAUGUAUGAUUUCAUUUAAGUUCUGGAACUAGUAAAACCAACCUAUAGCCAUAAAAAUCAGAUCAGAGGACCGGGCACGGUG
rnacentral:lncRNA from 1 species